GAUCAUGGCUCAGGAUGAACGCUGGCGGCGUGCUUAACACAUGCAAGUCGAACGGGAAAUACUUUAUUGAAACUUCGGUCGAUUUAAUUUAUUUCUAGUGGCGGACGGGUGAGUAACGCGUGGGUAACCUGCCUUAUACUGGGGGAUAACAGCCAGAAAUGGCUGCUAAUACCGCAUAAGCGCACAGAACCGCAUGGUUCGGUGUGAAAAACUCCGGUGGUAUAAGAUGGACCCGCGUUGGAUUAGCUAGUUGG
rnacentral:rRNA from 1 species